AAUCGCGGAUCAGCAUGCCGCGGUGAAUACGUUCCCGGGCCUUGUACACACCGCCCGUCACACCAUGAGAGUUUGUAACACCCAAAGCCGGUGGGGUAACCUUUUGGAGCCAGCCGUCUAAGGUGGGACAGAUGAUUGGGGUGAAGUCGUAACAAGGUAGC
rnacentral:rRNA from 1 species